AUUGAACGCUGGCGGCAUGCCUUACACAUGCAAGUCGAACGGUAACGCGGGGCAACCUGGCGACGAGUGGCGAACGGGUGAGUAAUGCAUCGGAACGUGCCCAGUAGUGGGGGAUAGCCCGGCGAAAGCCGGAUUAAUACCGCAUACGACCUACGGGUGAAAGGGGGGGAUCGCAAGACCUCUCGCUAUUGGAGCGGCCGAUGUCAGAUUAGGUAGUUGGUGGGGUAAAGGCCUACCAAGCCUACGAUCUGUAGCUGGUCUGAGAGGACGACCAGCCACACUGGGACUGAGACACGGCCCAGACUCCUACGGGAGGCAGCAGUGGGGAAUUUUGGACAAUGGGGCGCAAGCCUGAUCCAGCCAUGCCGCGUGCGGGAAGAAGGCCUGUGU
rnacentral:rRNA from 1 species